rnacentral:lncRNA from 1 species
AUUGGAGCUAUUUGAUAACAGGAUAAUCGUGGGUGUUGUCAGGCAAUAUUGACGAGGCGUGCGGGCUAUAGCUAAAGGGUCAUAACUCAUAAGGUCGAAGAUACGGUUGGCGAGUUGAAGCUUGGCUUUGUCUGAGAUUAUUUGCGAAGAAAUCGAAGUUUGCUUUGGGGAAAAGUUUCAAAAAUGCUAGCAGCUCCGGUAGCUUCUCCUACAAACUUUGAAAGAAGAAGCGUUUCAGCGUCUCAAGCCUCUCUGAGUCGAACAGGUU